rnacentral:lncRNA from 1 species
UUUUUUUUAUUUUCUAUUUGGUAGGAAAACCAUUUAUGAAUGAUUUAUAUGAUGCAUGUUAGAAUGCAAAUGGGUAAUUGGAUAUUUUUUUGUAGGAUUUUAUUUUUUUGAGAUUAUAUCAUCAUUAAAGGGUUGAUGGAAGAUAGUGAAUGUCGAUAUCAAAGGGUUAAUGGACAGGUAAAUAUCAUCGUCAAAGGGUUGACAGAAAAGAUUAUCAUCAUCAGAGGGCUGAUGGAAAGGUGACUAUCAUCG